GAAUGUGCCAGCAGCCGCGGUGAUACGGAGGGUGCAAGCGUUAAUCGGAAUUACUGGGCGUAAAGCGCACGCAGGCGGUUUGUUAAGUCAGAUGUGAAAUCCCCGGGCUCAACCUGGGAACUGCAUCUGAUACUGGCAAGCUUGAGUCUCGUAGAGGGGGGUAGAAUUCCAGGUGUAGCGGUGAAAUGCGUAGAGAUCUGGAGGAAUACCGGUGGCGAAGGCGGCCCCCUGGACGAAGACUGACGCUCAGGUGCGAAAGCGUGGGGAGCAAACAGGAUUAGAUACCCUGGUAGUCCACGCCGUAAACGAUGUCGACUUGGAGGUUGUGCCCUUGAGGCGUGGCUUCCGGAGCUAACGCGUUAAGUCGACCGCCUGGGGAGUACGGCCGCAAGGUUAAAACUCAAAUGAAUUGACGGGGGCCCGCACAAGCGGUGGAGCAUGUGGUUUAAUUCGAUGCAACGCGAAGAACCUUACCUGGUCUUGACAUCCACGGAAGUUUUCAGAGAUGAGAAUGUGCCUUCGGGAACCGUGAGACAGGUGCUGCAUGGCUGUCGUCAGCUCGUGUUGUGAAAUGUUGGGUUAAGUCCCGCAACGAGCGCAACCCUUAUCCUUUGUUGCCAGCGGUCCGGCCGGGAACUCAAAGGAGACUGCCAGUGAUAAAUUGGAGGAAGGUGGGGAUGACGUCAAGUCAUCAUGGCCCUUACGACCAGGGCUACACACGUGCUACAAUGGCGCAUACAAAGAGAAGCGACCUCGCGAGAGCAAGCGGACCUCAUAAAGUGCGUCGUAGUCCGGAUUGGAGUCUGCAACUCGACUCCAUGAAGUCGGAAUCGCUAGUAAUCGUGGAUCAGAAUGCCACGGUGAAUACGUUCCCGGGCCUUGUACACACCGCCCGUCACACCAUGGGAGUGGGUUGCAAAAGAAGUAGGUAGCUUAACCUUCGGGAGGGCGCUUACCACUUUGUGAUUCAUGACUGGGGUGAAGUCGUAACAAGGUAACCGA
rnacentral:rRNA from 1 species